GGAUUCCGGCCGUGCUGUUAUUUAGACGAAUUAUAUUUAUCCUUAUGCUGUUUUUUCUAUUCUUUAUAUUUGUUUAUAUUUACUCUUUGUGUCAGCAUCCCAUUUAAACAGCAUCAAUGAGUGUCAACAGGUUAUAUUAAACUUUAAUUGUUCUAUAGAAAUUACCAUAAAAAAAUAUAUAAAUAGGAAUAAAACAGUUACAGAAAAACUCAAAAA
rnacentral:lncRNA from 1 species